GAGCAAGGGUGUCAGAAUUAUAAAGAUGACGCAACUUUGCAUUGACGGUUGGUGAUAUCAAUUAGAAGUUAGCGAUUCUCCCAUGCCUUUCAAAUCUCUAUUGGUUUUGAUUAUGACCUCGAACAAAUUGGUACAUU